rnacentral:tRNA from 1 species
GGAGAUGUGGCUCAGCUUGUAGAGUGCUUGCCUAGCGUGCACAAAGCCCUGGGUUCCAUUCCCAGCAUCAGUA